GCCGGGCCGGGCGGUGGCGGCGCGCGGGGAUGGAGCGGCCGCCGCUCGGCCGGUCUUUCUCCUCUACAAAGAAGCUUUGUUGCCAAGAUUUACUCUGAAAAUGACCUACAGUACUGACUGCAGAUGUCUGCAAAUGUAGAAGCUAAUAAAUUGUGUCUCCUUCUCUCUUCGACUUUCCUGUUUCCUGUGGAAUUUACACUUCUAAACUUUUUUAAAGUUAGACCUCUGUUGAAGACAUUUGGAUUACAACUGUGAGCAUAUCUAUGCAAAGAGGCGAGCUACGUUGAGCAAUUUUGAGGAAGGCAGAACGGGCUGUGAUUGGCAGUGAAGUGCUGUGAGUGGAAAGGGAAUCGAUCCUUACCUUUGCUGAAGGAAUUUCUCCAUCAUUCCC